rfam:Ixodes scapularis strain Wikel colony gcontig_1108379530762, whole genome shotgun sequence.
CCUUGGUUAGCUCAGUUGGUAGAGCGCUCCACUUGUAAUGGAGAGGUCCCGGGGUCGAUGCGCCGACCAGGCG